GUGUUUUGUAGGAGGCCCUGUGGGUGCGGGGCAGUUUUAUUAGGGGCUUCCCAGGAAUCAAGAGCCCCUGAUAGGAGAGCGGGAAAAGCUCCGCUAAUCUAGAGUAGUGAUUGCCCUCUUUGGAAGGGUAAGUUUUAGUAUGAACAGUUAGAUUUUGAGGGAAUUGUCCCUAGAUUUUUUUUUUUGGUUAUAUAGACUGAGAGUUAGUGGUUGUAGUACUCUAGUAUAUGUUACGCACAUUAUGAUGAGAUGUAUAUGAUUUUAUAUUUUCUAUUGCGUAGGCUU